rnacentral:rRNA from 1 species
CCUACGGGAGGCAGCAGUAGGGAAUCUUCCGCAAUGGACGAAAGUCUGACGGAGCAACGCCGCGUGAGCGAUGAAGGCCUUCGGGUCGUAAAGCUCUGUUGUCAGGGAAGAACAAGUAUCGGAGUAACUGCCGGUACCUUGACGGUACCUGACCAGAAAGCCACGGCUAACUACGUGCCAGCAGCCGCGGUAAUACGUAGGUGGCAAGCGUUGUCCGGAUUUAUUGGGCGUAAAGCGCGCGCAGGCGGUUUCUUAAGUCUGAUGUGAAAGCCCACGGCUUAACCGUGGAGGGUCAUUGGAAACUGGGAGACUUGAGUGCAGAAGAGGAAAGUGGAAUUCCAAGUGUAGCGGUGAAAUGCGUAGAGAUUUGGAGGAACACCAGUGGCGAAGGCGACUUUCUGGUCUGCAACUGACGCUGAGGCGCGAAAGCAUGGGGAGCAAACAGGAUUAGAUACCCUGGUAGUCCAUGCCGUAAACGAUGAGUGCUAAGUGUUAGGGGGUUUCCGCCCCUUAGUGCUGCAGCUAACGCAUUAAGCACUCCGCCUGGGGAGUACGACCGCAAGGUUGAAACUCAAAGGAAUUGACGG